rnacentral:misc_RNA from 1 species
AUCAAAUCGAGGAUGUCAAGAGAAAGCCUGGCUGCCUGAAUUCUUUGGAUAGUUUGCAGCCAUGGCAAACUAUGUCAUUGCAGUUCAUUGUGGUGCUGGGUAUCACUCUAGACAAAAGGAGGAGGCAUACAAGACAUUGUGUGUGUCACAUGUUAGAGAAGGGCUCAGAGGCUGUGGAGUGUGUGACCGAGGCAGUCAAACUGUUAGAGGACUCUAAGUUAACCAAUGCGGGUCGCGGCUCUAGCUUAAACAUCAGAGGUUGUGUGGAGUGUGACGCCUCCAUUAUGGAGGGGAAGAAACUCCUGUUUGGUGCUGUCGGAGCCAUUUCUGGUGUCCAGAACCCAAUAGAGGUGUCGGCCAUGUUGAUCAACAGACAGCUUGGGGAAAAGUUAUCCCUGGGGAGGCUGCAUCCCAGUGUUCUUGUGGGGGAGGGAGCCAGCCAGUGGGCCGUGGCUAAUGGGAUACACAAGAUGGACCCUCGACUCCUGAUAACAGAUGAAUCACAGAAAACAUACAAUAACCACAAAAGAAAACUUGACUCUCAUAACCAGAAAGUCAGCAAGAAAAGAAAGAUAGAUCACCAGAGUGAUGACAAAAAUGAGGAGAUUGAGGACCUGCAGGAGGACAAGGAUGUUGUUCAGGAUACCGUUGGAGCUGUUGUCAUGGAUACCAGAAGGAACAUAGCAUCAGCAGUGUCUAGCGGGGGGAUCUCACUGAAACAGCCAGGGAGGCUGGGUCCGGCAGCCAUUUAUGGUGCUGGCUGUUGGGCCUACAACCAGAGGCCAGGAAAACCAGGUGUAGGAACAGUUACUUCAGGUAGUGGUGAGCACAUCAUUCGGACCGUACUGGCGCGGGAGUGUGCAAUGUCCAUACAGAGGGAGAACAACGCUAGCCUCGGGCUGUCUCAGGGAUUCAAACAGAGUCUACUAGAGUCUGAGUUUUUAUCUGAGGAGGAGGAGAAGUACGCUGGGGUUCUGGCUCUGGUCCACAAUGAAGAUAACACAGCAGAGGUAUUGUGGGGCCACACCACAGACAGCAUGUGUGUGGGGUAUAUGUCCUCCUCACUCAAGAAACCCAAGGUUGUCAUGUCUAGACUACCAACAGGGGGAAUUCCAGGAAAAUCCUUCACCAUGUUGGGCAUGCCUGUAUGAAAUGAUAUCCUCCAACGCAAGCGAUGAAACAGCUUCUUGCUCACAAUUAGACAGUUAAUCCCAGGAAGUCAGCACUCGAGUAGAGUAACCAAAUGACCUACUCUAUACUGUGUUAAGUAGAACUGACCAGUCUGGUGUGAUAAACAAGAGUUCAGCGAACGAGAUGAGUAGUAUGAAAUGACUCCUGGGUAACAUAAAAAUCCGCCAGUAGAUGCAGAUUUCAACAUGAAAACACCAGCUCAACAGGCACAGAGUGAAAGGCAGCCAUGUUAGCUUCAAGUUCCACAGUGACAACAAUUAGGAUUUGUUUGUCAAGAAAAUCAGUCCUGGACACGUAACUACAUUGUACCCGAGUAUAGAUAACACAAUGAAACAAAUAAACAAAUUCACUGGAAAAUC